rnacentral:rRNA from 1 species
CGCUGGCGGCGUGCUUAACACAUGCAAGUCGAACGGUAAGGCCCUUCGGGGUACACGAGUGGCGAACGGGUGAGUAACGCGUGAGUAACCUGCCCUUCACUCUGGGAUAACAGUUGGAAACGGCUGCUAAUACCGGAUAUUCAGCUCCUGUCGCAUGGUGGGGGUUGGAAAGUUUUGGUGGUGGAGGAUGGGCUCGCGUCCUAUCAGCUUGUUGGUUGGGUGAUGGCCUACCAAGGCGUCGACGGGUAGCCGGCCUGAGAGGGCGACCGGCCACAUUGGGACUGAGAUACGGCCCAAACUCCUACGGGAGGCAGCAGUGGGGAAUAUUGCACAAUGGGCGGAAGCCUGAUGCAGCAACGCCGCGUGCGGGAUGACGGCCUUCGGGUUGUAAACCGCUUUCAGCAGGGACGAAGCGUGAGUGACGGUACCUGCAGAAGAAGCACCGGCUAACUACGUG